rnacentral:rRNA from 1 species
GCGGUGGAGCAUGUGGUUUAAUUCGAAGCAACGCGAAGAACCUUUACCAGGCCUUGACAUGCAGAGAACUUUCCAGAGAUGGAUUGUGCCUUCGGGAACUCUGACACAGGUGCUGCAUGGCUGUCGUCAGCUCGUGUCGUGAGAUGUUGGGUUAAGUCCCGUAACGAGCGCAACCCUUGUCCUUAGUUACCAGCACGUUAAGGUGGGCACUCUAAUGAGACUGCCGGUGACAAGCCGGAGGAAGGUGGGGAUGACGUCAAGUCCUCAUGGCCCUUAUGCCCAGGGCUACACACGUGCUACAAUGGGCGGUACAAAGGGUAGCGAUGCCGCGAGGUGAAGCCAAUCCCAAAAAGCCGUCCACAGUUCGGAUUGGAGUCUGCAACUCGACUCCAUGAAGCCGGAAUCGCUAGUAAUCGUGGAUCAGCAUGCCACGGUGAAUACGUUCCCGGGCCUU